AGACUAGAAUGAAUGGAUUUAUGAAGCAAUACUUUCUUAGAUUAAAAAUUAAAAAUAAUUUUUUUAGUGAAGAGACUAAAAUGAAAUUGAGGGACGAGAAGACCCUAUUAAGCUUAAUAAAAUUAUUUUGUUGGGGAAACAGAAGAAAAAAUUUUCUUUUUAAAAAAGUUUGAUAAAAUUGAUUUAUUAUUAAUAAUAAAAGAACAAGUUACUAUAGGGAUAACAGCAUAAUGUUUUUUGAAAGUUCUUAUUUACAAAAGGGAUUAUGACCUCGAUGUUGGAUUAAAAUUAUUAUAUAAUGUAGUUGUUAUAUAAAUUAGUCUGUUCGACUAUUAAAUUUUUAC
rnacentral:rRNA from 1 species